UGACAGUAUGCUGCUGUCACUCCAGUUAAUCGGGUGUAGUGUUUCUCGAGAUAUGGCGUAACUAUGAAAAUAACAACAGCAUUGCUGCGCUCAAAAGCGACGGGACCGCUACCUUCCCUGGAGUACUUGGACUUGUCACAACUCGGGUUGGCAUCCAUUGAGAAACUAAGCAGUUGCCCCAAACUCCAGACUCUGAAGCUACGUGGAAAUAAUAUUUGUGAAGUUUAUAACUUGGAAUAUUGUACUCAUUUGUGGCACUUGGACUUCAGUAAUAACAAGAUCCAAUGUCUGGACGGGCUGUCCAGGUUCCUGGCUGUAGGGACUCUUAUUCUGGCUGGCAACAACCUCACAUGGAAAGAGCUGGUCAAAAUACGACAUCUUCAUAUCCUCAACCUCAGUCUCCAUGGCAACCCACACCUGGAAAAAGAUCCCUACUAUCGGAUCCAUGUGAUUGACUGUCUGCCCAAUAUCUGGAUGCUGGAUGGAAGAAUUGUCACUUCGGCGGAGAGACUGCAGGUGAAACACUUCUUCCAGGACUCAGCGCUCACCGAACAUCCUGUUAGACACAAGCUAGGCAGGGAAUGGUUUAUACCUAGCGCACUGAAGAAAAUACAGGUGAACGGGAUCUUCGGGGACAAGUCUAAACAUCUGCUAACAAAGUUCCCUAUAAACGCUGUUCAUAAUAUAGAAAUUGAUCAAAGACGACUUAAGUACUUAGCUUUCAAUUUACAAGAGGACCUCACAAUAGAGAGGAAGUACACUAAGAGGGACUUCCAGGUGCUGCGUUACCGCCGGACAUUCCUGGAGGACCUGCUGGACGUCCGGCCCACUGACCGGGAGAGAUGCAAUAUGUUGCUGCUGCUACUGGUGGCAUCCCUAGAGUUUGUAAUGCCCACACACCUGGUGAAGGAGACGCUGGAGACAGCCAAGCUGGGGAAGAUAGGGAAGGUGUACACCAUGGACCUGUUCUUGCUGCCCAAGGACGUGCGGUGUCAGGUGGUGGGGAUCCUGCUGUCGGCCAUCAAGGUGGACAAGGACAUCAGGGAGGAUGGAGGAUUGUACGACCGCCUGUACCUGUGCCUGUUCUACACCGUGGCGGAACUCACUCGACUCAGUCAGUCCAACUCCCAGGGGGACUCACAGACUACUGGCAAGAUGCACAACAUCUACCGAGAUUACAAGUGUCUCCUGGCAUCAGAGAUUGUUCAACUGAUGUGUAUUGUCCCGGCGUUCUUUGAGUAUAUGGAGAAGGAUGUUGGAGUGAUGAACUUGGUAACCACGGGAACAGGAGACCGGAGCAUUAUUGGAAAAAUUUCCCAACUUGCUGAGAGCUACAGGACUGAGAGGAGAGAUGUGCGGGCAUUGUACGAGGACAUUGCUGAGAUUCUCCUACAGAAGGUUCAGGAACAGACGAUGAAUCUCACCAACAAAUCUCCACGAGAGCCUGUGAGCGACAAAGUACUGAGCACGUCUGGGUCGGUGAAGAGAGCCAAGACCCCUGUAGAUGUGUCGGAAUACCACAUGAAAGGGGUGACCAGCCCCGACUCAGACCCCCCUGUUGUCCAGUGUCACACACCCAGGAAAAACACACCCAAAUUUCCACAUUUAGGAGAUGUCCUGUUAUUAGGACCGCAGACAAUUGGAAAAGUCAUCUCUUUACCUCAGCCAUUCCUGGCAUUGGUAGCCAUGGACGCUGUCCCAGUGUCCAAUGGUGCAAUGGUCAGCAAGCUGCGGGACUCGGAUGACCACUACACAUAUGUCAACAUGAGGCAACUGGAGUGGGAUGUGCAGUAUAACCUGUGGAAGCCUUUGGGCACUGUUGGGGACAGAUACACAAUACAGAGCACAGACGAAAUGCGGAAGGAGCUGGAGCGACGGGCAGCCAUCAUCUAUCACACAUCGCGGCCCAACUCUCCUGACAGUGCUAUGCUGGAACCCCCGGCGCGGGAACCUACCCCCCUCAUCUACACCAGCUACAGGCCAGACACGCCUCUGGAUACCCCCAAACCAAAGUUACAGAGUCACCGGCCACCAAGACCGAUGUCAUCCAUCCUGAAGGAGAAGCUGGACCUGAAGCUGGACAUGACCCACAGAGCACAGUCAGCUAGGGUAGUGCGAGACCAGUAUAGGCACCCAGCAUCGGCAGGAGCAACACUCGCAACAUCACAUUCAGCACAUCAUCUCAACAGGCAGGACAACUUCACCAAGGCAGUACAAAACAGGAAGAGUAGGACAGCAGUUCGACAGAUACUGGAUGACUGUGUGAGCCUGGCGAUGGACAUCGGUGAUGGGGAUGCAGAGGAGGAGGAAGAGGUGGAGGGUUCUGUCCAGGGGUCCCUGCUGGUGCAGAUAGACGGACACUCAACCCCAUCGGCUGCAGACAGGCAGUACAACAGAUCAGACCCAGACUUUCAUUCAGACGAGGAGCCAGAGUUACAGUCUCUUCAUGCAGACAACUCCAAGUCACCCUCCUCUUCAUCUAAGGGAGGCAACUACAAUAGACCAGCAUCAGAGUUGCCUCCCCCUGUUCAUUUUGAGGUCCAGCUGCCCAGUGUGUUGGAAGGGGAGAGUGAACCCAACACAGGGAGGGAGAGGGGGACAAGAGCUCAGGGGAAGUUACGGAAGGGGAUCACCAACAGCGUCCACAGCAAGAAAGCCACACCUGGAAGGAGUAGUCGACCAUUCAGUGCGGUGGACGCCUACCGGUACUUCGUGACUGCCCAACCGGCCAGUCGGCCACAGAGUGGCUACAACACAGACUUCCAGAGAGCUCGAACAGAAGUGUGGAAGAAACGGGCGUCAGUUCCCUCCACACCCACAGCCAAACAACCACCCCUGCAGAGACCAACGUCCCCUGCCCUGACGGGGACCCCCUCCAGCAGACUACACAUCCACCGGGCGGAAUACUGGAUGGGAGGGGGACGGGACCUGUACUGGGAGCAGCAGUUGAAGCGCCCCAAGUCCGGCCACACCCCUGGGUGGAAGGAUGGCCUCCCUGACAGCAUGAAGAGACGACCCAAGUCAGCCGUAGCCAUGAGGACACUACGGCGAUCAAAGGCUCCCAAUGUUAUCACACCGUCUUCCAUAGCCUACGAAGCCAUGCUGGCAGGCUAUUCUAACCCCGAUCUACCGCAGCUACCCAACCUAUCAGACUACAGACCGCUGUCCCAGCAGCUUGGGUUGCCACGACGACUAGGGUCCCCACCGCCAGGGGUCGAGGACUUCUACGCUGAACCUACCCAAGAUACAGUUUAUAGGUAGAGCUAGCCACACCCAGGGCCAUCGGCAUGCUGCCUCCUCCACCUGCAUUGUCACUCCUGAUACCAACGUCUCCUUCACACCUGCAUGUACAUGUCUCACGGCGAAACUAGUAGCUUUGUUGUCAGUAGUGCCAGAUGGCUGAUGGUCCCCAGAGUUGACUUGCAGAGAUACAUGCUGUAGAUGGGAUAUACAGGGAUACUACAAACUCAGACACAGACACAGGAAGUCUUUUCUAAUAGCGACAAUCACCUUAUCUUCAACUUAAGAUACUCAGAGCUCAGUGUGUUUUCUCUAGUCCCAGAGAAGUUUGAGUUAACCAAGGCCCCAUUUCACAAAGCUAUUGUAGCCCUACGACUGUCGUAAGUCUAUGUUACAGUAUAGGAGGUGCGAAUGCUACAAGAAAAGAGAUCUAGAGAUCUAAGGCUUACGAGAGCUUUGUGAAAUGCAAUUCCAUUGAAGUAAGAUCUUUUGCUGCUGUAUGAUACACGUCUGUGUUCAGACCUGAGGAGGGUGUCUAAACUAACUGAUCAGGUGUGCGAGGUGAACUUUCUGAUCAUCCAGUCAGCAUCCGGGAUUCCAUAUUUUCAGACCAACUGAGUGAAGCAUUCAUACCAGAUUAUCAGAAUUCUGUAUGUCAGAAACAAGCUUAAGCAACAUUUCCUGAAAGCUAUUACCAAAUGCUGUACCAGAGAAAACAUAUUACACUAAACUUUUUGUUGAGUCAUCCUCAGAUCGUAUUGCAUAGGCAUUGUAUACGAGAGGAAACCAUGUUAUAAUUAGGUGAACAGAUUUGUUUAGUUUGAAUCCAUCGGUUUCUAAAUUAUUACAGUUGUGAGACAUUGUCUGGUGUAUUUUGCAAUGUCAACUCUGUGGAUCAUCAGCCUGUAUGCUUAUACCAAAGAAUGAUAUUUUGUAGAUUUUGUUCAUGCUGUAGUAUGAUGUGAUAUGACACACCGCAAUUAUGAAAUUCAUCAAACUGUGACCGAAAUGAAUUUUUAUGCAUUGAAUUAGCCCACAAGGUUAGUACAUCUUUUGCUCCUCAGAAAUAUGAUCUUUUACAGUAAUAUUUAUAUUUCAGGGGUGACUUCAAGAAAACAUACCCAUUAUUAAGUGAUCAGUAUAGAUGAAUCAUUGUUUCAUACUUAACUCCUCAGGUUGGUUCAAUGAAUAUGAUACUCUGAUUAUUCAUUUCUGCUUACAAGCUUUAAUCCUAAGUAUUUGCGGUGUGCCAUUACAUUUCAUAUCAUCUAGAGUUUUAUUUGACUUCUACACCUCAGAGUAUUGUUUUUGUGAUAUUAACUGGUGCCAUUAUGUAAGUUAUAAAAUACCAGGAUGACUGCUGUAAUUGGUAUUGACGUACUCAUGUAGAUAUCAUGUAACUUAUCAGUGUCACCUGAUGUACAUAGCAGUUGCAUGUAGAACAUGUAUCUACCUAUCAGCAUGCAUGUAUAUAACAUCGUCAUUAUCAGGACUUCCACAGUGUAAGAGUGUCUUCAUUGCCAUGCAGUGAUGAUGUGUCUAUUUGAAAAUUGACAAGUCAUCGACAUCACUGAGGCAUGGCCAGCUCCCCAGUGAUGUUGUGUCCAUUUUGAAAUUGACAGGUCAUUGACAUUACUGUAUCAAUAUCAACAUGAUGGAAAUGACAUUACUUUGUAACUCACUUCUCAGGUUUUAGAAACCAGUUAUUCAUACAGCUACAUUAUCUCAUGUGUAUAGUUAAACUAUUUAAAUCAAAUAAUAAGGUAACUGUUUAUUGUGAAUAUUUUCUCUUUCCGAAGACAUAUUAAUGUGCAUAGUUGUUUUGUUUUUCUCCUUAAGUUAUUUCAUGUGUAAUUAAAUCAGUCUGUGAUAUAUAUUUUAAUUGAAAUAAACCAUACAUUUGUUAAAUGUAUCUAUGACGUUCUUUUUUCAGAUCAAAAUGAAUUAUGCACAGUUUUAACAAUAAAACUUUGAUUUUUGUCCUGAGGUUCUAUGCAUGUGUAGACACUGAAGACCUAACUGUAUUUAUCAGAAUCACAGAAGAUUUGUCAAGUGCUACUGACAAGAUAAGAUUUAUUUAUUUAUGAGAAACAUUCAGCUUGAGUUGUAAUAAAUAUGUACCAAUAUAUAUUCAAGUGAGGUCAAUCUAGAAUAAGAUAAUAACAGACUUUAUUUGGCUUGUUUGAUUGAAAAUAUUCAGAUAUCUUUUGUUAAAUCUUUGUUAAAACUUUUCUUUCAAUAAUAUUGGGGCGGCGGGAUAGUAUAGAGGUCAAAGCAUUGGCUCAUGAUGCCAAAGACCCGGGUUCAAUUCCUCACAUGGGAUCAAGGUGUGAAGCCCAUUUCUGGUGUCCCCUGCCAUGAUAUUGCUGAAAAUUUCCUAAAAGUCCUUACUCACUCAAGCACUAUUUCAGUAAUGUAUUAAUCUGACCAUAUUUUGAAAAAAAAAUCUAUCUUUUAUCUCCUUUGAUAAACAAAAACUGUAAAAAGAGGGACAAAAGGAUUAAUUCUGCCUUCUGUGAAAUGUAAAACACCACCAACACCAUGUUUUUCUCUUGUGGAAUGAACAACUUAUUAGGGAAGAUUUGUUACUAUAUUAACAUGCAUGUACCAGGUAUAUGAAAAAUCAGAGUUUUAGUGUUGUGUGUGUGUGUGUGUGUUCUCAGUAGAGCACUGCGUAUCUGUACAAUAAAUGGUAUACUUACAGGUAAUUCUACAGCUUUGAUGCAUCCCUCAUUUCCUGCAUGGAGUGUUGUGUACAAUGUUGUUUGCUUCACCCUUAGCUUUCUCCCCAACUGCAACAAGUUUGACCUUGCAUGCAUUUGACCUUGACCUCAUGACCUAUUGACCUUUGGUGACCCUGGUGUAUCUAGCUCCACCAUGACUCUAACUUGGAGAUGGUGGCACCAGAAACUGCUUCGAUGUUGAGAUGUAUAAUCGGCUGACACUUGAAAGGCUGAGACUCUGCUAUCCUAUCUCCGCUGACUGAGUGGGCGCACUAUCUAACCAGUAUAAUCAGUGGUCAGCCAUGUUGUCUGCAGUGCAUCUAUGAACAGUUCAUGCAGGAGUACAAGACAGAGGUGGAGUACGACAGCGACAGAUAGAGGGGAAUGCAGCAUCCAUGGAUACAUGUCACCAGACUUGAACUCUGUCUGUUCAGUUGAAUUAUGCCAGUCGUUGGACACUGAUCUAUAACAUGGCAGAUAUGUACUUUGUCCCAAUAAAACAUUCCACCCCUUACACACCCUCCACAAUUGAACAUAAAUAAUUGAUAAGUUGCAAAUAUGUGAAUGAUCAUUAUUUCAGUCGUAACACAGCAGAUGCCACCAAGAAAGUAAACUUUCAUCUGAUCAGCGACAGCUAUAGCCCUGCAGUACAUGAAGAUUGGGGCUGUUAGCUCUGUGAGUAAGGUGAUAGAAAACAUAUGCCAUAUAGGAGUGGACACAAAUACCAUGUAUGGGAAGAAAGUACUGUUAUUUCUUUACAAACAUGUACAUUGCACAACUACUAGUAACUACUCUUCUUGAGGUCAUUUUACAUAAACAAACACCGCAGAAUGCCUGAGUGGGUCUGAGGUCCUGUCAUAGACCUGAUGGGGUCACGUCUGAGGGUUAUUGUUUUCGCAUAGACAACUUCUUUAUUGAAAUAGAUGUGACGUUUCGGUGCUGGUGCUAACACAGUUAUCAUCAUUUGCUUGAUAACAGUGUUAGCAUCUACACUGAAACAUCGCAUCUAUUGCUGUAAAGAAGUUGUCUAUCUAUAAAAAGUGUUCCUCCUUGACUUUGACUUGAAACAUUACUUAUGCAGGUACAAGUGGUGCAUUGUGUGUUUAUUUGCUAUCACACGUUGAAUGAACACUCACAUUGUUUAAAACCAAUAUUGCCACUAUGUUGGCCAUUGUGAAUUUGUUACUUUAUUUUCAAGCUUUUAUUCUAGUGCUUCUAUUUUAUGAAAUCAAAGUAUGUUAUGGUAUAAAUAUACCUCUCUACUUUUGAUAAGGAUAUUGUUAUCUUUCCAUGAAGCACAAAACCUACUGUCAUAAUGUAAAUAUUGUCAUAAUAUAAUGUUUACAUCAAAACUAGAAUGACAUUAUCGGACGAUGUCUUUCAGAAGUUGAGCAUUAUAUUACAUUUGUGAAAUCAGUAUUGCAUUAUGAGUACAGCAUUAUUGUAGGAUGGGUAUGUGGAGUCAUUCAUUAUUGUGUGGUGGCAUCAGGGUAACCGAAACAUUGGAUAUAUGUCACCUGGAAUAGUGCCCGGCUAUAAUUUAACACAGGACAGGUAUCUGAUACAGUUGUUUAUACAUUUAGGCAGUCAGAAUAAACGUGAAUAUUUAGAGUGUGUACCUCUUAAUUAGGUGUUGGAGUAUCAGUGUUUACACAUGCCUACAGAAUUUGAGCUCCUAGUGUGUGGAGUGGUUCAAGACAGUGAUGGUAAGUAUGUUGUAGUAAUGUACAUGUAUUAUAUGAAAGGAAGAAGCAGAGUCAUGUGUUUCACAAUACCACGUACUGAAGUAUUGUUAGUUACUUCAUGUUAGUAUCCAGGGUGACAUCAAUAAAAACAAUUGUCGCUUUUGGGAUGACAACGCUGAUGCAACAUUGAAUUUUAACUCUCUCAAAAAUGAUACUUGUCCUGUGUUAUGUUAUCAGAGUCAGUUUUUUAAGUGGUUGGUGGGGACGAAGCAGUUCUUCUUGGGGUCAAUUGCCCCGAUAUCCGGGAUGAGAAUGAAGUUUUGAGAAAAACUCUGAAAACUAGCCGAGGGCCAAAUCGAGGCCAAAUUAUACGGAUUUAGAUGAUUCACAAAAAUGACCCUUGGCCUUAUGAAAUUCCCGGAAUUCCGCGAAAAUUCAAAUCCCUGGAUAUCAGGAAUAUGAAAUGAUUAACUGAAUUGUGUUCGUCAAUUGUUUUGUAAUUAAUGUUUUCAUUUCAUUAUAAUGUAGUAUAUUUGUUUGCUAGUUCAUGAAUGGGAUACAUUAUUGAGAUGAAUCUGAAUGUUUGUAUUUAUGUAUUUCAUAUGUUGUGUGCAUCUGUUUGAUGCAGUGGUGAAGCGUGAUGUUUCACAAUACACAGAUCAAACUGUUUAUUACUGUAUAAAGAUGAGAUCAGCUUUCAA